AAACACCGAGCUCCCCCUGAGCCGCCUGGGAGCAGGGAGGGUUCUGCUACCCUGAGGGGCCCUCCCCGCGGGGCAGAGGGUGGAAGUCACAGCAUCUACUGAAUCUGUGCUUGCCUUGAGGAAAAACGGCAUGGCACAGGAAUGUGGACGCUUUCAACCAGAGGAUUCUGUACGACAGUGUCGGCACACAAGGAGUGUUCCACUGACUGACCUCUUUUUGUUUUCAAAUGAAGAGGAGCCAAGAAUAGGACAGCUUGGGAAGCUCAUCCUCGUCUACGGCCAAAUGUUGGUUUCUCAUUUCUAGAAGAUGAAAGAUGUGAUGACUCAGGAAAAACUGGAAUCUUAGUAACUGUGGUGGGCACUGAGCCUUGCUGUCCACAAGAGAAAGCUUGCUGCUCGAGAUGUGAGUCUUCAGAUGUUCCUGCCGCCAUAUCUGACAGCUGCUGCCAAGAUUCCCUGGUGGGAUGGACUCUUAUACCUCGACAACCAGAAGCCCAAGUAAACUCUUCUAUAAAUUGAAUGACUCAUGCUU
ensembl:processed_transcript 2210408F21Rik RIKEN cDNA 2210408F21 gene